AUUGAACGCUGGCGGCAGGCUUAACACAUGCAAGUCGAACGAGUGGCGGACGGGUGAGUAAUGUAUUGGAAUGUAGCUUAUAGUGGGGGAUCACCAAUGGAAAGUUUAGCUAAUACCGCGUACUAUAGGAUGGGCCCAUGUGGGAUUAGCUCGUUGGGGGGGUAAAGGCACACCAAGCCGACGAUCCAUAGCUGGUCUGAGAGGAUGACCAGCCACAAUGGGACUUAGAAACGGCCCAGACGCCUACGGGAGGCAGCAGUGGGGAAGAUUGCGCAAUGGGGGCAAACUUACGCAGCCAUGCCGCGUGAACGAAGAAGGCCCUCGGGUUGUAAAGGUAUUUCGGUAGGGAGGCGGUUACCACAGGAGAAGGAACGGCUAACUCCGGGCCAGCAGCCGCGGUAAUUC
rnacentral:rRNA from 1 species